rnacentral:rRNA from 1 species
GUGCCAGCAGCCGCGGUAAUACGGGGGGUGCGAGCGUUAUUCGGAUUCAUUGGGCGUAAAGGGCGCGUAGGCGGCUGGGUCAGUCUGGUGUGAAAACGCUACCGCUCAACGGAGCGAUUGCACUGGAUACUGCCCGACUUGAGUGCGGGAGAGGUGAGUGGAAUGAGUGGUGUAGCGGUGGAAUGUUCAGAUAUCACUCAGAACACCAGUGGCGAAGGCGGCUCACUGGCCCGCAACUGACGCUGAGGCGCGAAAGCGUGGGGAGCAAACGGGAUUAGAUACCCCGGUAGUCCACGCUGUAAACGGUGAGUACCAGGUGUGGGGGGUUUUGACCCUCUGUGCCGAAGUCAACACAUUAAGUACUCCGCCUGGGAAGUACGGCCGCAAGGUUGAAACUUAAAGGAAUUGGCGGGG